CGAGUUUCCUGUAUAAUUUGUGUUUUCAAGUAGACAUUUUUAAAAGAUUAUCUGGUCUCACUUGCGUUUCAAAAACUGGCUGUUAGACUGGUUUCAAACGGUGGUACAGAAGAAACGAAACGGAGAGCCACUACAUUUAGUAAAAAAAAACUCGCUAGCGGAACUAAGCUGGAUUGCCUGGAGGCGGAUAACGCAGGGGAAAGGACAAGUGCUCGCCGAAAGAAGCUAACGCCGAAACGGGUAAUCCUUUGAGCACUCUCCAGGAAAAGCUAUAAAACUCCCUAUUUUCUCUGAACAUUAUGAAGAAAAGACUUGAGUCGGAUGCGUGGAGAUAAUUAGAGAGUUCGGACGAAAACGAAAGUUAAACGGCGUGUUAGAAAUAGCGAUCCCUGUCUCUCCCUGCAAAAACGUAUUUUGAUAGCAAGACUUUAUUCAGUCAGUGUAGAGUUUUGCCGAUUUUUGAGAAGUUGUUUGCACUUGGUUUGUUAACAAAAGCCCUUUUUUGAGGAAAGUGCUUUAAACCUUUGUAUGCAGGUGAAGCAUUAACUUUGUAAGAUUGCUGAUAAAGAUUAACAGAGAUAUGGCGAGGAUGCAGUGGAGCAGGGCAGAUCACGCAAGCUAACAGAGAAGGCAUUAGAAGAUCGAUUGCAAAGGUGAGGAGACGAACAUUAGGAAAUCUGCCAGGAUUAUGCAAGAGCUUGAGUUUGAAGCAGCUAAAAUUAAAGCUGAAAAGGAAAGAAUGGAGCUGAAGACUGCGUUAGCCGAAAGCCAAGCAAAAUUAAAAGUGCUUAAAGAAUAUGAAAGAUCUGAAGAUUGUUUUAGUAGUUAUGUGUCAGUGUCUCUAAGCGGGAACGUGAAGAAGCAUAGAAUUAGCAUGAUGCUACCACAACAAGCAAAUGUGAAUGUUCACGUACGACCACAAGCGCAGCACUCUCAAAUACCACAACCACAUCUGCCACAACCAGUGUCCAAUCGCAGGUAUGAUGCUCAAGUUACUGUAGAUGAUGACUUCUUAACAGUCAUGCAAAGGCAGAAUGUAAUUACCAAGCUAUUUCUAAGGCAACAGCAGCCAUCCCUGCUACCAACAAAGGACAUUCCUGUGUUCAAGGGUGAUGCACUACAAUACAAAACCUUCAUGAUGGUGUUUGAGCAUGCAAUUGAGCAGAAGACCAACAAUGAUCGAGAUAAAUUGUACUUUUCGGAACAAUUUACAGCUGGUGAACCUCAAGAGCUUGUUCGCAGCUGUGCCUAUAUGACAUCUAGCAAGGGCUAUCAUGAAGCAAAGCAGGUACUUCAUAAGUACUGUGGGGAUGAGCUACAGAUUGGCAGCGUGUACAUUGUCAAAGCACUCAAAUGGCUUCAAGUGAAGUCAGAUGAUAGAAAAGCAUGAAAUGCUUAUGCAAUGUUUUUGAUCGGAUGUCGCAACUCCAUGGAGGAUAUCGAAUUUGUAGAAGAGAUGGAUAAUCCCACAAACCUACGGACAGUGAUAUCAAAACUGCCCUAAAAAAUGAGACAACGUUGGCAUGCUGAAGCUUUCGAGCUCAAAGAAUGAAGAAGUGGGAGAGCAAGAUUUGCAGAUUUGGUGAAUUUCAUAGACCGCCAAGCUAAGAUAGCUAUGGAUCCCCUCUUUGGUAAUAUCUCAGAUGGCUGCCCAACCACAAGUUGAAAUAGUGACCAAAAGGAAAGGCAUCCAGGAAAGAAAGAGGUCCGUGGAAGCAGUUUCAUAACUAAUGCUUAUGCCGAAAGCAAAAGGCCUCAAGAAACUCAUGUUAAGCCAGCAAACUCAGGUAAAACAGUCAGUGCCUUUGAAAAGCCAUAUUUGUACUACCAGCAGUUUCAUACUCUUGCUUUGUGCAGUAAAAUCAAAGGCCAGCCCCAUAAAGAGCAGAUGGAGUUUUUAAAAUCAAAGGGCCUAUGUUUUGGAUGUUUGGGUCUAGGCCAUCUCAGCAAAUUCUGCAGACGAAGAAUUGAAUGUAAAGAAUGUGCAUUAAAGCACUCAGACAUUUCUACACAAAGUAAAAGAUGAAAAUUCUGUCUUACCUGAAAAUAAAAAUGGUGCUCAAUGUAAUGGAGUGUCAUGUUCUCGAGUUCCUAUCACUCAGGAAUCCUGUGGCCUUACAGGGGCCGGAGAAGCUGAAUGUGUGUUGUCAAUAGUACCAGUAAAGGUCAAGUCAAAGAAAAGUAACAAGUAUGUUGAAACGUACACCUUUCUGGACCCGGGAACCACAGCAACUAUCUGCACAGAAGACCUGCAAAUGAAAUUGAAUGUGAAGGGAAAACCAACAUGAAUUCUUCUUAGCACUAUGGGUCAAGAUAAACCAGGAGAAUAGACGCUCAUGAACAGUUUAGUGAUAUCAGACCAAGAAUGUCUGUGGGCUGGAAGACACCAAGUUCAUUGAGUUACCCAAGGUGUUCACGCAUAGCAGUAUACCUGUUCAUACUGGUAACGUCCCCCAAACUGUCAGAUAUCCAGAAGUAGCCUUAUCUUCAUGAAGUGAGCGUUCCAGAGAUAGAAGCUGAGGUAGGCCUACUUAUUGGAGCUAACUGUUCAAGAGCGUUAGAACCAUGGUGCAUAAUCAAUGGUCGAAAUGGAGGUCCUUAUGCAGUUAACAGCCAUUGGAUGGGUUGUGAAUGGACCCAUAAGGAAAGAUCUGAAUGACACAUAUAAUGAACCGCCUCAUUUCUCAGUAAGCAGAAUCUGUGAUGGAAAUUGAGAAGCUACUGGUCCAACAGUACAACACUGAUUUUCCAGAGCGUAAUUUUGAUGAUAAGAAGACAAACUGUUUUUGCAGUCUGUGGAUAAAACGAUGGUUUUGGAGAACGGAGAAUGCUCAGGAAUGAGAAGCUCCAAAUGCCUAAUAACGGUUGUGUGGCAGAACAGCAUAUAGUAUGUUUGCUUAGGAAGUUUAAGAAGAAUCUUGAAUUCUUUGAAGAUUACAAGAGUUUCAUGGAGACCAUCAUUGGCAAUGGCUAUGCUGUCGAGGUUCCGGCACAUCAGCUGAACUAGAGGUCGACCGAUAUAUCGGCCGGCCGAUAUAUCGGGCCGAUAUUUAGCAUUUUUUAAUGUAUCGGCAUCGGCCGCUAUACGAGUGCACUACGCCGAUUUUCAGACAGGCACGUCUGCGGGCAGCCCAGUGUUAUUGUUGCUGUGGAACACGUGACCCAUGCUGCCUUGUGCAGGACCACAGCCAGAAGUUUUGGAAGAGUCCUGGGAUAAAACGUAAUUGCUGUCUGAUGGCUGAACAAAAAUCUAAUCCUGUAUGGCAGCAUUUCACAAAGCCAACACCAGGAAAAGCCAGGUGCAAUAUCUGCAGCAGACUGGUGAGCUUGGGAGCUGAAGAAUGAGUUUGCUGCUAAAGAGAUUCUGAUGCUGCUAUCUUUAUUGUUUAUAAGUUUAAGUUGUUUAUAAGUUGUAUUGUGUUUUUGUUAUUUAAGUUUAUAUUUAAAUUUACACAAGUCAGUAUUCAAUAAAUGCUAAGUUGAGA